CGCGUAGACGGCUGUCUAAGUCUGGAGUGAAAGUCCUGCUUUCAAGGUGGGAAUUGCUUUGGAGACUGGAUGGCUUGAGUGCGGAAGAGGUAAGUGGAAUUCCCAGUGUAGCGGUGAAAUGCGUAGAGAUUGGGAGGAACACCAGUGGCGAAGGCGACUUACUGGGCCGUAACUGACGUUGAUGCGCGAAAGCGUGGGGAGCGAACAG
rnacentral:rRNA from 1 species